GCGCCGGUGGUGGAUGGGUAGACGCGGCAGGUUUAAACCCUGCUUUAUUGCGGGUUCGAAGCCCGCCCGGCGCA
rnacentral:tRNA from 1 species